UACGAAGGGGGCUAGCGUUGCUCGGAAUUACUGGGCGUAAAGGGCGCGUAGGCUGUCAUGUCAGUCGGGUGUGAAACCCCCGGGCUCAACCUGGGAACUGCACUCGAGACGGCAUGACUUGAGGACGAGAGAGGGUGGUGGAACUCCCAGUGUAGAGGUGAAAUUCGUAGAUAUUGGGAAGAACACCAGUGGCGAAGGCGGCCACCUGGCUCGUUCCUGACGCUGAGGCGCGAAAGCGUGGGGAGCAAAC
rnacentral:rRNA from 1 species